ensembl:lncRNA
GUUUCACCAGUACUGCCUGCGUGACUUCAGGCAAGUUACUUAGCCUCUCUGUGCUUCAGCUGCCUCAUCUUAGCCUGAGGAUGACAACAUGUAAGCACCUGGCUCACACGGCUGCUGUGAGGACCAGAUGAUACCUGUGGAGCCCCUAGAAACAGCCAGCACACAGUUAAGUGCUCCGUAAAGCUUGGCUCUUCUCUGAUGGUCUGAGAUGGGCCCCUCAGCAUCUCAACUGCCCGCUUUUGCACAGUCUGUACUAAUCCCAGGGUUUGAGUUUUCACACGGGCUGUUCCUCCCUCCAGAUGCUUGCCCUCAUGCUUUCAGCCAGUCGUUACUUUCCUUUGCUCACAGCCUCCUGCUGUGAUUGCCGCCCCCACAGAGCCGGCUGUGACUGAUUCCAAACCCUCGUCAAACUCUCAACUCACAGGGCCCAGCCUCCAUUUUCUGGGCAUCUAUUUGCCUUUGUCUAUCUGUAGCUUUUUAAAAUGCUGUUUUCAUCUUGUGGUCCUGCCUCCUUGAGGCUGAAGCUGCCAAAGGUGGAAGCUAGGUCUGUCCCACCUUCCUGGGGGCUCUGCUGGGGAAGGAGCCAGGCCAUCCCAUUUCAUAAGGGCCUGGCCAACUCCUCUGCUGGCUAAAGGGUUCGCAUGCCCCAUUCCUGAAGGCUUCGUUAGAGCUGGUACUGGAUGAGGAGACUGAGGUUCACAGAGGGGCAAUGACAUGCUUAAAUUUGCUCAGCAAGUCCGUGCUAAGUCAAGCAUUACUUCCAGGUGUCCUGAUUUAAGUCCACAAGAGUAAGCGUUGGGGCGCUAGUGAGAGGCAGCCUGGUGGAGAGCAAGGCCACAGACACCGAGUUUAUGUGCCCAUCCUGGCUCUGAACAGCUGCGCGACUGUGGGAAGGUAACUCAGCAUCUCUGAAACUCAGUGUCCUCGGCUUGGAAACGGGCAUCCUGGGAGCAAAACUGCAUGGUUACCAGGAUGAAAGGGGCGUAGACCAAAAGCCCGUGGCAGUGCUGAGGAUGUGGGUGAGUGAGUGAGGCUGGAGCUGAGGGCCAGGGACGCGAAGGAAGAAGGCUACAUCUGCAGAAGUCCCACUCUGUGGGCAGGGAGCCAAGCUUCAAGGCGAAGACUAAGAACUCAUGGGAAAGGUUCCCUUCCUGCCUCAGGGAUCUUGCAAACGCUGGUCCUUCUGCCCAGAACACUCUUUCUUUCCCUCUUGACUCAGUUUUUUCUCUUCUUCCUUCAGGUCUCAAGUCCCACCUCCUCUGGGAAGCCCUCCUUAACUUCCCCAAUCAGAUCAAAUCCCUUAAAUGUGGACUUACCCAGUGUUUCCCAUUUCCUCAUAGCAAACGGAUUUUAUAAUGCAAUAACGUUAAGUCAUAACUUUACCUUUGCGAGUCUUUGGUUAACGUCUGGCUCUGCUCCUGGACUGCAGGUUGGGGGAGGCCUGGGACCGUCCCUGGGGGUCGGGGAGGCGCUCCACCCUCUGCGAUGGAACCAGCGCCAGCUGAGGUCAGCUCUGGAUGGGGGCUGUUGUCCAACGUGCGAGGCGGGAGGCGAUUUUAUGAGGCACACGGAGACGGUUUUUGAAAUUGUGGAUUUAAUAUUUACUUUAUAGCGUACUUGGAAAAAAGGCAGCGCACGAGACUUGGAGUCUGAUGGAUGAGGUUAAAUGAAACACGUGGGUUGCUUUAAAGGACGACGUACGGAAUACAGCACAGUUCGGAGGGCACGCGGGCGAGCAGAAACCGGAGCCGGCCGGGCGGGCGGCCGGGUGCGGGGCCGCGGAAGAGCACGAGGGGGCGCUCGGACCACGCCUGUCGCAGGUGCCCGGCGAACCGCGCCUCCUGGGGCCCCGAUGCCCGCGCCCCUCGGGACGUCCCUCCUGCUGCCCUGGGGGGCGCUGCUGAGCGGCGGCGCCUCCGCUGGGGGUCAGCCGGGGGUGGGAGCAGAGCCAAAC